rnacentral:rRNA from 1 species
CGCGCAGGCGGCGCGUUAAGUCCGGGGUGAAAUCCAUCGGCUCAACCGGUGGGGGACCUUGGAUACUGGCGCACUGGAGUGCGGGAGAGGGAAGCGGAAUUCCACGUGUAACGGUGAAAUGUAUAGAUAUGUGGAGGAGCACCGGUGGCGAAGGCGGCUUCCUGGACCGUAACUGACGCUGAGGCGCGAAAGCUGGGGGGAGCGAACA